GACGAACGCUGGCGGCGCGCUUAACACAUGCAAGUCGAACGGAAAGGCCUGCUUUCCCUUGUGGAUUGCGGGUACUCGAGUGGCGAACGGGUGAGUAACACGUGAGUGAUCUGCCCCCAACUUGGGUAUAAGCCUGGGAAACUGGGUCUAAUUCCCGAUAGGACUGCAGGGUGGUGCCUGUGGUGGAAAACGAUUUUCUAGUGGUUGGGGAUGAGCUCGCGGCCUAUCAGCUUGUUGGUGGGGUAAUGGCCUACCAAGGCGGCGACGGGUAGCCGGCCUGAGAGGGUGGACGGCGACAUUGGGACUGGGAUACGGCCCAGACUCCUACGGGAGGCAGCAGUGGGGAAUAUUGCACAAUGGGCGGAAGCCUGAUGCAGCGACGCCGCGUGGGGGAUGACGGCCUUCGGGUUGUAAACUCCUUUCGACCGCGAGGAAGCCACCUGGUUGGAAGGGUGGUGACGGUAGUGGUAGAAGAAGCGCCGGCUAACUACGUG
rnacentral:rRNA from 1 species